rnacentral:lncRNA from 1 species
UUAAUGCCGAUCCUCAUCCUGGCGAGUGAACUGAAACUAAUUCCUAAAAUGCUAACAUCUUUUCGUGAACAGGGAAUUUUCUAAUAAGUACUCAACCACCUUUCCGACCAAUUUUACUUCACUUCGGGCUCACAAAGUCCAUUUCAUUGCCUUUUAGGCAGUCACUGGCGAAGAUGCUUCUUGCUGCUGCCGAGGUACGUCGAAAACAAAACAAUGUGUGCUAACACUGCUUUGUGUAGGGAGAUUAUUCUGCUUUGUUGUCCGCAUUUUCGGAGAUGGGGCUUGUUCUGAAGCUGGACAUGCCAGAAGAGGCGAUGGAAAUCACCAACUUUUUUUUCCGUCGUUCCUUGCCGGCUGAGGAAUCUGUGGUAAGGUUGUUUUGUUCUUCCGCAUUAUCUGCUAGAGGUCCAUGGUCUCUGCCAUUCUUCCAACCUUCCCGUAGAGAUCGAUCAUGGCACUGUACGUAACUCUGUCAAAAGAAACCCCGGUUUCACAAAGCCGGUGGAACCAGGCCAUGGCAUCCUUAGCUCAACCGCAACACUUGGAACAGCUAACAAAGAUGCUGAAGUUGUCCACUCCCUUAUAUUAAACCCUUGUUUUUAGUAAAGAACUUUACCACUGUGUUCUAAUAUACAUCCACCCAUACCAAGUAUACAUCCCCUCUUGCGGACUUUCCCUUUGUCUUUUAUCUCUGUAGCAAAAUAAACUAGUCCACCAAAUCUCCUCCUUUUCAAUUCUCAAUUAUAUUGUUUAAAGACUUUUUAAUCUUAAUUAAAAAUUUUAUUUUACAUUAGUGGAAAAUGCUCUCUCCAAAACUACCACUAUAGAACAAGGUUGUGGGGAAUGGGUUUUCGGUGCAAUUAGUAGGGACAACAAUCUAUAUGCAUUGUGGUGUCUUAAUUUGGACGAUGACAGCUUAUCUAAUCCUAUGACAGCGUACAACUGAUGAAUGUUAUAGCUGUGAUACCUGCUAUGCUUAGUCACUCGGAGGGAAAUAUAAACAUCUAUUCUACUACAUUCGACAUAAAGAUAACAGCUAUUACAAAUGGACAGCGAUCUAUGCUUGCAAUUGCGAGCCGCUUUGCUGCGCCAUCAAAUCCCUCUCGAGCCAGUCCAGGCUCAAAUCUCUUCCCAGCAGCAUCACUCCCUCUUUGAUCGCUCGCGGCUCGACUAUCUCACCAGAAUUCUGGAAGAAAACGAUGAGGAGCUCCUCCUCCAGCUGCCACAACAACAGCAAACCUCUUACCAGGUACUGCUCCGCGAGCUCACGGAAUGUCUCUCCCCCAAUUCUUGUGCUAGCAGUUCCUUGUCAAUGGACACCGCCUCUCCUCCUCAUUUUCCCUCGCGCACCUCCACCGUCUCCUUCCACAGCUUGCUCAUGGACUGCGCCCGAGCCGUAGCUGCCAACAAUUCCACCAAAGUCAAUGAGCUCGUGAGAGAGAUCAGAACUUUAGCCUCACAUCAGUCGCGUCCGGUGGAGAAGGCCGCGCUCUACUUCACCAACGCGCUCGUCGCGAGGCUGGCCGGGUGUGGAGCUCGGAUGUACGCCGCGAUGCACCAGAACGUGACGAGGAUGCAGAGUAUCUCCAUCCGGAUGAAUCUUCCCAGCCUCCGGGCCACGGAGCGCUUCGCCAACCAGAUGAUCCUCGAUGCCUGCCGUGGUGCCAAGCGUGUCCAUAUCGUCGACUAUGGGAUCCUCUACGGCGACCAGUGGCCAUCGCUCAUCAAGGCGCUGUCCGAGAGAGCCGAGGGGCCGCCACUGUUCAAGAUCACAGGCAUUGACUUCCCGUCCCUUGUCAACCUCGAGAAAACUGGAAACCGGCUGGUCGACUACGCAGAGUCGUGUGGGAUGCACCUCGAGUUCCACUCCAUCGCCACCGCGGCGUGGGAGUCAGCGCAGCCGCGAUACCAUCUCUUCAGCGAGCUUCUCUUCGUCAACUGCCAGCUGAGGAUGCGGCACAUCCGCGAGGACGGGAUCAUCGACAGCCCCCGGAAGCUCUUCUUCGAGAAGAUCCUCAGCUUCAAGCCUGUUAUGUUUUUCCAGUCCGUGGUGCACGCUGACAUCGGCUCUCCGUUUUUCAUCCACCGCUUCGACGGGGCCUGGAGGAGCUUCCUGGCGAGGCUGGAGUCGUUCGAGGAGACGAUGAAGCUCGGAUUGAUCGACCAGUCGCAGCUCGACUUCAUGGAUAAGUUCAUCGAGAAGUGCGCCAUGGGUGUCAUUGCCUGUGACGGGCAGAACCGUGUGGAGCGUAUCUCCUCGUACAAAACCUGGGAUCGCCUGGCUCGGAAAGGCCAGUUCGGACAGCUUCCAGUCAGCAAACGAGCGCUCGAGAUGGUCAUGUCCGUUUGGAGCGGACACGAGAACUUCACGUACGGAAUGGACGAGAACUGGCUGCUGCUUGGCUGGAAAGACGCAGUCUUGAAUGCUUUGAGCGUCUGGGAGCCCAUUGAGAAGCUACCGCGCUUCAAACACCAGUGAUCCACCCUGUACCUACAUUCUUUCUCUAACUUCUUUGUUCCUGAUCGUGUCCUUCCUGUAAGGAGACUAUUUAAAUGUCUUCAAAGAACACUCAAGAGGCACUUACCUUGUCACGGAAGUUCUCAAGUCCAUCGCUAUAGAACCUGAAACAUACCAGCCACUUGUAGGACACGCUUUGGUCGUCAAGCACUCAUCACGUAGAGCACUGUGUCCUUCCACCCCAGCAACAUCCAGUUUCCAUCUCUUCCGAAGCCGAAGUACGGGUUCCUGAAAUUUCCACAAGCGCUCCUCUUCUCGCUUUGCCCGAGCAUCCCAGACGCGAUACGAGGCCGCUCUCUCCACUCGAUCGAGCCCUUCGCACGCGACGAUGUUCAUGAUAUCUCUUGCGGCCACCUUUUGGAUAAAUCCGUGCUCUUCCGGCUUUCCUUCUGCCACCGCUUCAAAGUACUCGCUCGGGCAAGUGUCAGGUGACUCGUCUGCUCGGAGAUCGGGAUCCCAUGUCCACUGGCGAUGGACCAGUGAUAGAUGGUCCAGUGGAUCAAAUAGUAGAAGCCCUAAAUGUUGCAUGGGAAGUAAAUCGAAUCAACUUAUAAAACGAAAACAAGUCUUGGCCUUACGGUGGUCAAUGCUGAUCUAUCAUGAAACUCGAACCUCUAUAGCCAUUCGCCACGCCUCUUCAGCCCGUUGGUCAAGAAUAAUUUUUAGAAAUACUUCUAGGUUUUUAACCCCUAAACCUUGGCCACAAAUAACUGGCGGAUUUUGCAUGCUAUAAUCCCUCCAAAAGCUAACAUCAUUGCCAUACCUACAAAAUCAAAUGUCAUGUAUGCAGCGCUGCUUCAUGUGGGAAUCCAGAUCCUAAAAGCCUUUUUAAUCUAAGUGAAGCUUGCCUGCUUUAAAAACCUAAAAGAAUAGUCUUGGCACAUCUAUGGGAGGACCUGAAUUAGACGGAACGCUCUCGAGCUAAGCAACCAGGAGCAGCGCCGGUGGCUGCUUGAAAACUCUGCCAUCAUUGAUUACUCAGGCUGACUCAGGGAACUGCUAGAAUGCAAGACCUACGGAAUGGCACCACUUUGUGCGCGGGAAUGGUGACUUGAUACUCCGAUUGCCUUUUAGACGUUAAUGUCUUGUGUGAAGCUCCGGGGGCUUGUGAUGGUGACGCUCUCCGUGCGUGCGAGGCUGACGGUCAUGGUGGCCACCACAGCCAUGCGCGACCACCACCACUGCGAGAAGAUAGCGCACUCCAAAGAUGGACUGGUGACUAUGAAAUGGGCAUCAGGUCAUCUGUAGUUGUAGCUUUGAAUACAUUCUCCCUUCUGGUGUACUGGCGAUUUGUAGAAAUGGCAGGCCUGAUGCUGCUCCUCAGUUUGAUCGGGGCGAAUCAUGAUCUUGAGUUUUGUUCAUGCGCAGCGAAGGUGCCAUUGCUAGCCCAGUGCUGAAGAUAGAUUCUCCAUGGCCAAUAGUCCUCCACUUUGCCAACUUAUACUGGGAUUUUGUAUGGAGAGACGAUGAUUCAAGCCAACUUGAAGGGUGUGUUGAAGGGGUAGUUUUGACAAUAAACAUCUCUAACGUUUGGAACGGUGACAAGCAAGUUUAGAUCUGGAUAGAAAGUUUAGCAUUCGAGCGUAGCAAUAAGAUCGAUUUACAACAGCAAGUACGGAGGAAAUUGUAAAUAAAAUUGAAGUGUCAACCUCAUUUUCUUGAUUUUCUUUUCAUUUUUUCAAUUUUUUUUUUCACAGAAAAAGGUUGUUCUAGUUUCCACAGACAAUACGACUGUGACCAGUAAAACAAAAGCCACUAGGCCUAGGUAUAUAGAGACGAACCAACAUGAUAUUUCAAAGUGUUAAUCAGGUAACUGGCGGUUAUUUGGAUUUUGCAUGAAAAACAAUGUUUGCACUUAACAAUUGGUGGUGUAAAAAUAAUGUGCAAUCACAUCAUGUUUUUAUUUCAUAUAUUUCACAUUUUCCAGGCUAGUAUUUGUCAACUUUUAGAGUCAAGGUCUUUAAUGAUACUUCCAAGAAGCAUGGUUGCUUUUGCGAGCGACGGAACCGUCAGAUUUUGGAAUCGUUGAUUCUAAUCGUACGACUGUGGCUCGGCGGAGCGGCCUUUUAAGCCGGCAUUUUCGGACAUGGCGAUCGCAGUGGUGGAGAGCGAGCUAGGGUUUUGGAGCGCGACACCGACCAAAUGGCGUGGGGGAGCGCUCUCUGGAGGCGCGUCAAGGUGUUCCGGGUAGCAUUGCAGGUCUUCUUGGAUUACAGGGUGCGUAUCUCUUGCUUUUCGAGAGCUUGCGAGUGAUCCACCGGUCGAAAAUUUCCAGGCCGCGCGCAAGAAGGCCGCUGGAUUGCCCAAGGAGGAUCAGAACCUGCUGUGGGAUCGCAUCCACCACAGGAAUGCCGAGCGCAUUUUGGCGGCGAUCACCGAAUUGGAGGGACUGUGGGUGAAAUUUGGGCAGUAUUUAUCCACUCGAGCGGAUGUUCUUCCGGAAGCUUACAUCUCCAUGUUUCGCCAGCUCCAAGACUCACUACCUCCUCGUCCCAUUGCCGAGGCAACUUGCUUUCCUCAUUUUUUAUUUUUUUUGUUCUCUCUUUUAUUGAUCCUUCUCUUUCGCCAGGUAUCCGCUACUAUAGAAAAGCAACUGGGAAAACCACUGGACGAGCUGUUCUUAGAGUUCGACCGGAAGCCUUUCGCUACUGCCUCAGUCAGUUUCUUUCGCCUUCGAUUCUUUUUUCUUGUCUUGGAACUCAAGCUAACGUAUUGCUUUUUCAACACAGAUAGCGCAAGUUCAUCGGGCGCGCAUGAAGGACGGCCGUGAUGUUGUAGUGAAAGUCCAACAUCAAGGCAUUAAGGAGUGCGUUUUACAGGUUCUACAUUUUAACACCUUUUAGAGGUAUUUGUAGCGUAGAGACUUAAUUCUCAUGCCAGCCAUUGAUCGGGAUUCGCUUGUCCAGGACUUGUACAAUGCACGAGUGAUUGUUGAGUGGGUCGCAUGGGCGGAGCCUGAUUACGAUUUCGGCCCUGUUCUGGACGAAUGGUGCAGAGAAGUUCCCCAAGAGUUGAAUUUCAACCAGGAAGCGGGUACGGACAUUUCCAUGCAUUCUUUGUUUUUUAUUUCCUUCAUCUACUUCUACUUUUCUUCUUCUCCAGAAAACACCAAGAAAGUAGCACACAACCUCAAAUCAUGGACCAAAGACGGUACCAUCAAUAUUGAUUUUGUUGAUGUGCUUCUACCUGAAGUUGUUCAGGUUCAUGUCAAGCUUCUUGAAAUCCAAGCUGCUGUAACUCGAGUUUUGUUGUUUGUUGUUAACAGUCAGCCGAGAAAGUCCUGAUUCUCACGUACAUGGAUGGAGUUCACAUAAAUGAUGUGGCUGGCCUUGAUAGACUAGGCGUGGACAAGCAAGCUGCUGUCGAAACUAUCACCCGGGCAUACGCUCACCAGAUAUACAUCGACGGAUUUUUUAAUGCCGAUCCUCAUCCUGGCGAGUGAACUGAAACUAAUUCCUAAAAUGCUAACAUCUUUUCGUGAACAGGGAAUUUUCUAAUAAGUACUCAACCACCUUUCCGACCAAUUUUACUUGACUUCGGGCUCACAAAGUCCAUCUCAUUGCCUUUUAGGCAGUCACUGGCGAAGAUGCUUCUUGCUGCUGCCGAGGUACGUCGAAAACAAAACAAUGCGUGCUAAUACUGCUUUGUGUAGGGAG